CGUAGACUAGGUGAAUCAUCGAAUCUUUGAACGCACCUUGCACCGGCAGAGUCCAUCUGCCGGUAUACCUGUUUGAGCAUCAUUUGCAUUUAUCCGCGGAGCAAUAUUCGUAUUGUUUGGCGGGACUUGGGAUCCAAUUACCAAUUGGUGGUUGCUUCCUCAAAUGCAGGGCGAACGCAGCGACGCCGGUGCGCCGAGUGAGGAUAUUUGCGCAAGCAAACGAACCGCGAGACGCGACGGGAGAAACUGUGCAAGCGCUUAAAGAAGAGGGAGGAGGACGGCAAGAGAAGGAACAGAUGGCUGCUAGCUUCGGCUGACGGUCAACCGAUUCUUUUCCCUGCCCGGAGGACGGCAAGAGAAAGAAGGGUGGUUUGUAGCUUCGGCUGAAAACUAUUCCGCUUCUUCUUCCUUCCUACUUCCAACCUUCUUCUUCUUCUACCAGAACAAGUGUGAUCUCAAAUCAGGCAAGACGACCCGCUGAACUUAAGCAUAUCAAUAAGCGGAGG
rnacentral:rRNA from 1 species